GUGAAUCAUCGAAUUUUUGAACGCAUAUUGCACUCUCUGGUAUUCCGGGGAGUAUGCCUGUUUGAGGGUCAUUAAAAAGCAUCUAUAACCGAUUUUUUUGGGUCAAAGGAAAUGAGCUCUCCGCGUUGAUAGCGGUAGCUUGAAAUAAAUGGUCACGUAUCAUUUUAGUCGAGGCUCGUAA
rnacentral:misc_RNA from 1 species